CCCUUAGAUGUUCUGGGCCGCACGCGUGCUACACUGAGUGGAUCAGCGGGUCAGGUUACGCGAGAGCGUUUCCUAAUCUUCAAAUCCGCUCGUGAUGGGGAUUGACGGUUGCAAUUUUCCGUCAUGAACGAGGAAUACCUUGUAAGCGCGGGUCAUCAUCCCGCGCUGAAUACGUCCCUGCCCUUUGUACACACCGCCCGUCGCUCCUACCGAUUGAGUGGUCCGGUGAGGCUUUGGGAUCUAAGCGAAAAGAGCGUUUCGCUCCUUUUGCUGGGAGAACUCAGUCGAACCUUAUCAUUUAGAGGAAGGGGAAGUCGUAACA
rnacentral:rRNA from 1 species